GCCGGGCGCGGUGGUGGGCGCCUGUAAUCCCAGCUACUUGGGAGGCUGAGGCAGGAGAAUCACUUGAACCCAGGAGGUGGAGGUUGCAGUGAGCUGACAUCGCGCCACUGCACUCUAGCCUGGGUGACAGAGCAAGAUUCCGUCUCAA
ensembl:misc_RNA Metazoa_SRP Metazoan signal recognition particle RNA